CAAAAAGAUGGUGUGAUAAAGAAAAGUAAAUUAUGUGGACAAAAUGAUCUCUUAGCCUAAGAAAUAAGAACAACAUAGCAGAGACAUUAAAUCUUUUACUCAUUCCAGCAAACAAAGAGAAAUGGCUUAUGCUGCUAUCUCUUCACUUGUGUAUACAUUGGAACAACUCUUCAAACCUAAUCAAUCGUUCCUUUGUCCAUGCUCUACACAACAAUAUGCUCAAUCUCUCUACCAAAAUCUUUCUGCUCUGCAACUUUUCCUUGACAACACAACCACAAAGGAUAUUGAAACUCUUAAGCUUGUAGAAAAGAGGAUCAGAGAUGUAAUAUACAAAGCAGAAGAUAAAGUUGAUUCAAGUCUAAGAAACAUCAUUCUAGCAGAUUGCGGAGAGAAGAGAGAAGGGGCUGCUAAAUUCUUCGAGCAAGAGUUGCUAAAAGUGGAAAAAGAUGUUGAUUCUCUCAGGAAAGAGGUGAUGGUAGUUGAGUUUAGCAAGCAUGGAAGAAAAUGUGCAGAAUUAGCAACAACUCCUUCCUCACCAGAAAAAAGUACAAUUGAGGAAAAUACUAUUGUUGGGAUGGAGGAUGACUUCAACAUCAUACUUGAUCGCGUCACUGCCCAAACAGACGAGUUAACUGUCAUACCAAUUUUUGGUAUGGGAGGUAUAGGUAAGACAACUCUUGCUAGAAAAAUUUGCGAUGAUUCAUAUAUUCGCUCUCGAUUUGAUAAACAUGCAUGGGUCACUAUCUCUGAAGAAUACAAUCAGAGACAAAUGCUUCUUGAAGUUGCCUCUUCGAUUACCGGAAGCAAUCAAGAAAUGAGCGAUGAUCAAUUAAUGGAGUUUGUGUAUAGAGGUCUGAAGGGUAGGAGAUUUCUAAUUGUCAUAGAUGAUAUUUGGAGUACUGAGGCAUGGGACCUAAUGCAAGCAAUAUGUCCAAAUGAUGACAAUAAAAGCCGAAUUCUAUUAACUACUCGGCUCAAGUAUGUUGCUGAUUAUGUCAACUGCCCUGAUUUCCGCCUCAUAGUAAGUCUUUGCUAAGUCGAGAUGAUAGUUGGAAUCUAUUCAUCGAAAGACUAUUCAAAAAAGAUUUGUGUCCUCCUUUACUUGUAGAAAUAGGGAAGCACAUUGUACAACAAUGUCAAGGAUUACCUCUCUCGAUUGUUGUCGUUGCCGGACUUCUUGGAAAAAUGGACUUAACGCAUGACAAUUGGAAGAAGGUUGAGGAAAAUCUGAACUCAUUCUUUGGUACGGUAUCCGAACGAUGCCAAUCAAUUCUUUCUUUGAGCUACAAUUACUUGCCCCAAUAUUUGAAGGCUAGUUUUCUCUAUGUUGGAGGUUUUCCAGAAGACAGAUGUAUUAAUGUUUCCAGGUUGAUUAGGCUAUGGAUUGCAGAGCAAUUCAUAAAGGCAAGAAGCAAUAAAAGAUUAGAAGUGAUGGCGGAGGAGUAUCUACAAGAGUUAAUUGAUAGAAGUCUAAUAAUGACCGGAGAACAAAAGGUUAAUGGAAGGAUGAAAUUUUGCAAAAUUCAUGAUCUUCUUCGCCAAUUGUGCCUAAGUGAAGCUGAUCAUACCGAAAAUGUUGUGCAUGUAAUGAAUGGGAAAGUUCUCCAAGCCAGAUAUGAUCAACAUGGAGUGAUCUUUCUGUCUAAAGUCAAAGAUAAGCAUGAUGAGCGUCCACAACGUAAAAUUGGUAUAAUCCGUACCUUUAUUUCAAUUAAUAUGGUAGAAAACGGGAUUUAUUCCCGUGUUUCAGAGUUCAAGUUUCUUAAGGUGUUGGAUGUAUUAUCAGUUUGGUUAGAUUUCUCUCUGGUAAUACCCGAGCUUGUACAUUUGAGAUAUGUUGCUGCAACAAUUGGAGAUUGUCUUUCAUUAGCCAAAUUGAGAAAUCUACAGACCAUAAUUCUUCGAAAAACUCCCAGACUUUUAAUAAAGAAUUCAAGAGAGUUGAAGCAGCCAAUAGAUAUUUGGAGAAUGACAGAGAUAAGACAUGCGAAUAUUGAUUGCCCACUAUAUAUAUCAAAUCCUCUUGAAACAGAACAACUUCUGUAUAACUUGCAAACACUUUAUCUCUAUAACUCUCCUUUUGUUGCGGAAAUCAUAAGAAGAACUCCCAAUCUAAAAAAACUAAAGAUUUCAGAUGAUUCUGAGAAUUGCAAUGUUCUUGAUUCUCUCACUCUUGUACAGGAUCUGGAGACACUACACAUAAGAACAGUCCUGAUGAAUUUUUCUGUAGACAUUUUCCCUCCUAAUCUAAAGAAAUUGAGAUUAUCAUACACUAGAUUACCAUGGGAAGUUAUGAAAUUGCUGGCUAAUUUACCGAAUCUUGAGGUGCUCAAAUUGGAAGGUGCAUUUGAUGGAACAGAUUGGAAACUAGAUGAAGAUGUUGUGUUCCGUAAAUUAAAAUAUCUACAACUUUAUGGGCGCUAUGAACUGCAAAGGUGGGAAGUAGCUGGUAGUGAUAAUUUUCCGAUGCUUGAGCAACUAAUAGUGAAUGAGUUGGAUGAAUUGGAGGACAUUCCGGAGAGGAUUGGAGAUAUAAUGACACUAAAAUUCAUCAAAAUAAAAUGGUGUGGCUAUGCUUUAGAGACAAGUGCAAAGAAAAUUCAACAAGAGCAACAAAGCUUAGGAAAUUAUGAGCUUCAAGUUCAAAUUACUCCUAAGGAUAGAGAUAUUACGGUGGAGGCGCCAGAGGACAAGUCAGGUUAGAUGAAGGUGAAGGUGAAGGAUCGGAAUCACCGGUGGCGAAGUCACAUCAGUGCUGGAUUCCAGUUCCAAACUUGGAGAAUUUUUGAAUGUUUUGUAGUAGAUAUACAUUGUUGUUCAAACGGGACUCCAAAGAAAAGCGUAAAAGAAAUCAUUUGAAUCACAGACAUAUCGACAUGUCCUAUGUAUAUGUCAUUCUUCCAUGUAUAUGAUGUUUGUCAGACGUAUCUAACUACUAUGCCCUUCAUCUAUGCAUAUACCUUUAUUCUUAUUCUA